GGAGAGGUGCCAGAGCGGUCGAACGGGCUCGCCUGGAAAGCGAGUGUGCCCCUUCCGGGGUACCGAGGGUUCGAAUCCCUCCCUCUCCGCCA
rnacentral:tRNA from 1 species